rnacentral:misc_RNA from 1 species
CGUCCUGUCGUGGAUGGUGGUGGGGUACCGCCCGUAUAUUGAGAACUACACAGUGGACGCGAGCAUCUUAGAUUCACCGGUUUUCCGGUGGAUCACAAAGAUCUAUUUAUAGAUCAUUGGUCUGUUCUGUCUCCUCUAGGGGAGGCGAAACGAUUCAAUCUCAUGUGAUUUCAAGAUUCUAAGAGCAAACGGUGGAUGCCUUGGCAUCUGGAGCCGAAGAAGGACGUAUAAAUCUGCGAUAAGCCUCGGGGAGCUGAUAAUAGAGCUGUGAUCCGAGGAUCUCCGAAUGGGGAAACCCCGCCAGGCCCUUUGGGUGACCUGGUGACUCCCGCCUGAAUAUAUAGGGCGGGUAGAGGGAACGUGCCGAAGUGAAA